rnacentral:rRNA from 1 species
CAAUAGCGUAUAUUAAAGUUGUUGCGGUUAAAAGCUCGAUAGUUGGAUUUCUGCUGAGGACGACCGGUCCGCCCUCCGGGUCGGAGCGAUCUGGUUCGGGUCCGUUGGCCUGAUCUUCUUGGUUGAAUCGGUAAUCUGCACUUGACUGUGUGGUGCGGUACCCAGGAGCUUUACUUUGAGAAUUAGAAUGUGUUCAAGCUAGGCAGUACGCCUUGAAUACAUUAGCAUGGAAUAAUAAGAUAGGACCUCGGUUCUAUUUUGUUGGUUUCUAGAGCUGAGGUAAUGAUUAAUAGGGAUAGUUGGGGGCAUUCGUAUUUAACUGUCAGAGGUGAAAUUCUUGGAUUUGUUAAAGACGGACUACUGC